AAAUAAAAAAAAAGAGGAGGAGGUUACAAUCACAUUGCAUCUGACACUCAAUGCAAUCUAAUACAUGGAACAUAAAAUCUUUGGCUAAUCAAAAUUCAAGUGCACAUAACCCCAAACAUCUAAUAAAGGAUAUGAAAACAAACACUGAUGGAAAGAAAAUGAAAUGGCAAAAAUAUAAAGCAAGGCAAACCUAAUUUAGACACACAAGAGGUAAGUUUGGGACAGAAGGAUUAGAAAUGGAGAUACAAGAACUUGAUAUUUAAUUUUAAAUUACUUGAAAGGUUUGGUUGGCUCGAAUCAAGAUGGAUAAAGCUUGUUUGUGGAUGAGGCAUACACCUAUAAACAAGGUAUAAUUUUAAGUCUACAGUUAUAUAAUUGGACUAAAAACUUAAAUUCACAUCAUUGAGCUUCAAGUUAUCUAUCCAACACUAACUUGAUCACAAUCAAUUGAGAGUUCAGUAACUAUUGCAUUAGAAUAAUAUCUUAACAUCAAGAAAGACGAAUGUUUCUCAUUGAAAAGCAACAAAAUCAGGGACAAUGAUUAAUUUUUGUCUUUUAAUCAACAAAAAAGCCUGCAGCCCAGGGAAACGCAGAUUUUUUUUUUCUAAAUAGUACAGAUAUUCUAAUUUCACCAGCCAUUAUCAACUAGGCCUACAUAUGGAGCUUUCAUAAUUUUAAGGUUACUUCCUGCAACAGUUGCUUCCACAAGAAAACCUACUGGCAUCAGCAGCCUGGCCUAACCACAAACCCUUCCCCCAACACCAACAGAAACAAAAAGCAAAAAGUAACUGCAAAAGAAAGUAAGGGGGAAAACAAUGCAAGACCAGAAAGCCUUAGUCUCCUAGUGAAAGUAGAACAAGGAUAACAUUGAUGAGUGAAAAUUUUAUUAGAACAAAGAAAUUUUCAGAAUAUACAUACAUCCAACUCGCUCAGCUUCAACCAUGCGAAGAUCAACAGGAAUUUCAUGAAAUUGUGCAGCAAGCUGACGGUCUCCAAGAGACAAAUUAACUGAUAUAUAAGCUUUAAUGUUACCCUCUCCAUUCCUGAACCCUGUAUCCACUGUUAGAUGAAUGGGAUUGGGAACUUCUCUAGAAUAGAAUUCAUGGAUCAAUGCACUUCCUCCAGUGACCCCUAACCCAGUCGAAUACCUGAACCCAAAUAUUAAAACAUGAGAAAGGAGCAUCUGUUUACAAAAUUACUUCUAAAAACAUAAAAUUCUAUUAAAAAAAUCACAUUUCAUGAAAGCUGCACAGCAAUAGUUUGGUAGCUUUGUGGAGGGCUUUCUAACCUCAUCAAGUGCCGAUGUUCAAACAAAAUCUAGUACAGCAAGACCAAAAUUGAAGAAAAUAAUAGACAUUUCAUUACUACAGUCAACAAGGCAAAAAGAACCUUCUACUGCAGUUUAUUAACAAUUAAUAUAUAAACCAAACAAAAACGAAAUUAAUAAGAUUGAAUUUACCAUCCAACAAUAACUUCCUUUGGAUUCACUUUUUGGAGAGACAACAACAUAUUAUGAUGGUAAUCAAUAUCUAGAGCAACCUGAUCGGAGGAUUCAUUAUGAGGGACGGCGUAUGAAUUUCGAAUGUCGACGGUACCAUCGGGUAGGACGGAUCCGAGAAGCGUGCCAAUGACACGUUCGGCUUGGUCAGGCCGCCUCACGUAGCAAUCGCAGAUGUUGAAGAUCACCAAAGGGUGCACUUUCGCCGAAAGGCUCGUCGACGAUGGCGUUGGCGUGAAUUGAAGGACAGUGUGCUCGCUCGCCGCCAUUCUCCGAUCUCGAUCGAGCCGCAAGAGAGACACAGCACUAGGGUUUUGGGAAAGCUUCAGUUGUUUUGGUUUUA
rnacentral:misc_RNA from 1 species